CCGAUAUCAGAUUAGGUAGUUGGUGAGGUAAAGGCUCACCAAGCCGACGAUCUGUAGCUGGUCUGAGAGGACGACCAGCCACACUGGGACUGAGACACGGCCCAGACUCCUACGGGAGGCAGCAGUGGGGAAUUUUGGACAAUGGGCGCAAGCCUGAUCCAGCAAUGCCGCGUGCAGGAUGAAGGCCUUCGGGUUGUAAACUGCUUUUGUACGGAACGAAACGGUGAGCUCUAAUACAAUUUGCUAAUGACGGUACCGUAAGAAUAAGCACCGGCUAACUACGUG
rnacentral:rRNA from 1 species